CUAAACAUUAUUAAGAAUUUACAUUUACUUCAUCCUUCGAUAUUUAUACCCGUUUUAUCUGGUUAAUUUUGUAUGCAAACACCAGUCAAUUUAGUGCACUUUUUAUAAAAUUCUACAACCAUGUCAAGGUUAACAAACACUGCAUAUUUAUAUAAUGACAUUUAUUCUAGAAGAAUCAAUUAAAAAAUCUUUAGGCAAAUCACCUGUUUAUAAAUAAAUACCGAUUUUAUACACCUGGAAACGUGCAAGUUUUACUCUAAUAACCUCCCUUUAAUAUGACUCUCUUACGAAAGGAGGUAAAAACGGCAUUUUGUUUACAUUGUUUACAUCCAAUAUUUCAACGGAGCUGAAGUGAGACGACUAUGGAUUUUAGCUUCUGGAUUAUAGAAGUGUUAAUUUAGUUCAUAAUCAUGACAACUUAGUGGGUUGUAAACAAAAAAUGUGUCACAUGCAAGUCAAAUGAAUCAACUCAAAUGAGGAUGGACACAAAAAUCUACCAUGUCUACACAAAAAUUGAAAUAUUCACACCAGACAGAUCAGAGACAAUGCUUGAAAUAUUUAAAUUUUGCAAAAAAGAGGGUGAAUGUGAAAUUGCGAAAAAACAGACCAACAAAUGCAACGAAUUAAAAGUAAAGUUGACAAGGAAUGAUGUUCUUUAGCAGAAUUUCUUUCAUCCUUGAAGAUAAACAGCUAUGUUAGCCACUUUGUUCCACAGAGAAAAAGAGCUGGCUUUCAACUAAAACUGAAAAUCCUAUUAAAUAGAAUUCAAAAACUAUAUAUAAUUAUAUAUAGGAAUAUUUGGGUUAAAUACAAAUGUAAAAAAAGUAUUUCUGAACUAUUUCCAAGCAAAUGUAUGCCUGACUUAUACUCAGUGUCUACUUUUGAAAAUAAAAUGUGUUCAUUUGUCAAUUCUGAUGCAUAAUGAUUUAUUACCACUUGAUCAUUUGAAUUGUUGAAUUAUUUUCAUUGAAAAUUAUUACAUCUUGAAUACAUGUACAAGAAAAUGAAUGAUGGUAAAAAAUAAAGUUGAUAUUCAUAAGA